rnacentral:sRNA from 1 species
AAGAUCCUUUAAAAUAGUCCCGUGAGACUAAAAGGUAACGCACAAAUAGAUUUCUCUUUGAAGGAGUCUGCCUCUUAGUCUAAGUAUUUUUAGAUUGGGAGGCUUUUU